rnacentral:lncRNA from 1 species
AAAGAAGGAAAUGAAUGUGAUCGAAGGCGUGACGUCCUGCCCUGGCAGGAAAAAGGACGGUAAGUUCAGCCCCCCUUUUUUUCACUUUGAAAAUUUAAAGAAAAAUUUACAUUUACGGCAGCCCUGGCGGGCAUGUAGCACGGCCAUGGCAGCUUCGUAAAAUUGACCUCAUCGAUGGGCGAUUCUUAAGAUUCCCAUUGACAGCUCUGGUACAAAAACGCCUCCGGCCACCACCGACGCCCAUCCCCUUCACUUCUCCUCUGCUCUUCGUCUUCUUCUCUCCAUCGGGAAUGGCUGGCACGUGCCGCCUCCGCGUCCCGGCACGCGUCUGGAUAGCCUCGCUGCCACAGCGCCCCCUCCUCGUCGGCGGUAACCACACCUCCUCCCGCUUCUGUACCCGCUAAUCCCCACGCACGUCUUCGCUGUGGGAAACCCUAAUUCUUCCGGUGACAAACCCUAACCCUAACCUUAGCUUCCCCCAUGGGAAGGUUCGAACUCGACCUCUUCAAACUCCAGCUCAUCUACCACCAUCUGCUCUCUCGAUCCCUCCUCGUCAAGAUCCUCCUCGUCUCCGCCGUGGUCGCCGCGCUCCCCAUCCUCGCCACGUUCCGCGAGAUCGACGCCUGCGACGGUGCCCCCGUCACCAGCGGUGCUUCCCUACCGGCGCCAAUUUUGGAUGCCGUGAUCCUGGAUUUGAUGGGCCGAAAGUGGCUCUGGCGUGGCCACCGUGCCCUCUGCGUUGGCCGCGGCUCCAGCCCGGCCGCCGCCGCCGCGGCGAUGCGGAGGAUGGGGGUUGACGCGGCGGUGGAGGCGAUGGAGGGGUGCGGCGGGCUGCCGUUUAGGCGUGACGCGUUCGACUUCGUGCUGUCCACCGGGCUGGACCGUGCCGGGGCGCCGGCCAGGGUGGUGCUAGAGAUGGAGCGGGUGCUGCGGCCGGGGCGGUGGUGGUGGGCCCGGCUCGGCACGGUGGGUCGUUGAGGGCGGCGGCGCCGGUGGCGGCGCUUUUGAGGGGGUCGGAGGUGGUGGCGGUGCGGGCGCUGAACGGAACCUCGCCGGUGACGGUGGUGGUGUUCAAGAAACGAAGAGGACUUCGUAGCUCGGUGUGAGGGUCGCGGUAGGCGUCGAAAGUUACGACAUUACCCUGGCUUACGCGACGUAUUCCUCUGAUCGUGCGGCGGGCGGAGGCGGAUUAGUGCGUCCGACCGUCCCAAAAUACGGACGCUGUCGUCCUUGCUUAGUGUGCUUUUUUUAAUUAUUUUUUAAAGUCGGAUUAGUUGCCUUGGGCCCUUAGCUGAAGUAAUGGAUCUGAUUUGGUAGCAGCAAGGAUGUGAGGAAUUAUGGCUUAAUAUUUCUUUUAUUAGAAGACAUGAUUCAAGUCUUUCAUAAUCUAGUCUACAUGAACAAAUAAGAGUGGUUCGUAAUAUGAUAAAACAAAAUUAAAAUUUUGUAUAAAAAAUUGUUUAAUUAAUUCAUAAAUAUGAGAGCGUCGGCUAAUUAGUUUAGUAAAGCCUCAUAGGUCUUCGUACUACUAACCCAUUCGACUCCAUUUAAAUACUCAAGCC